AUUGAACGCUGGCGGCAGGCCUAACACAUGCAAGUCGAGCGGAUGAAGGGAGCUUGCUCCUGGAUUCAGCGGCGGGCGGGUGAGUAAUGCCUAGGAAUCUGCCUGGUAGUGGGGGAUAACGUCCGGAAACGGGCGCUAAUACCGCAUACGUCCUGAGGGAGAAAGUGGGGGAUCUUCGGACCUCACGCUAUCAGAUGAGCCUAGGUCGGAUUAGCUAGUUGGUGGGGUAAAGGCCUACCAAGGCGACGAUCCGUAACUGGUCUGAGAGGAUGAUCAGUCACACUGGAACUGAGACACGGUCCAGACUCCUACGGGAGGCAGCAGUGGGGAAUAUUGGACAAUGGGCGAAAGCCUGAUCCAGCCAUGCCGCGUGUGUGAAGAAGGUCUUCGGAUUGUAAAGCACUUUAAGUUGGGAGGAAGGGCAGUAAGUUAAUACCUUGCUGUUUUGACGUUACCAACAGAAUAAGCACCGGCUAACUUCGUGCCAGCAGCCGCGGUAAUACGAAGGGUGCAAGCGUUAAUCGGAAUUACUGGGCGUAAAGCGCGCGUAGGUGGUUCAGCAAGUUGGAUGUGAAAUCCCCGGGCUCAACCUGGGAACUGCAUCCAAAACUACUGAGCUAGAGUACGGUAGAGGGUGGUGGAAUUUCCUGUGUAGCGGUGAAAUGCGUAGAUAUAGGAAGGAACACCAGUGGCGAAGGCGACCACCUGGACUGAUACUGACACUGAGGUGCGAAAGCGUAGGGAGCAAACAGGAUUAGAUACCCUGGUAGUCCACGCCGUAAACGAUGUCGACUAGCCGUUGGGAUCCUUGAGAUCUUAGUGGCGCAGCUAACGCGAUAAGUCGACCGCCUGGGGAGUACGGCCGCAAGGUAA
rnacentral:rRNA from 1 species